rnacentral:rRNA from 1 species
AGCGAACGCUGGCGGCAGGCCUAACACAUGCAAGUCGAACGAACCCUUCGGGGUUAGUGGCGGACGGGUGAGUAACACGUGGGAACGUGCCCUUUGGUUCGGAACAACUCAGGGAAACGUGAGCUAAUACCGGAUGUGCCCUUCGGGGGAAAGAUUUAUCGCCAUUGGAGCGGCCCGCGUUGGAUUAGCUAGUUGGUGGGGUAAUGGCCCACCAAGGCUACGAUCCAUAGCUGGUCUGAGAGGAUGAUCAGCCACACUGGGACUGAGGACACGGCCCAGACUCCUACGGGAGGCAGCAGUGGGGAAUCUUGCGCAAUGGGCGAAAGCCUAACGCAGCCAUGCCGCGUGAAUGAUGAAGGUCUUAGGAUUGUAAAAUUCUUUCACCGGGGACGAUAAUGACGGUACCCGGAGAAGAAGCCCCGGCUAACUUCGUGCCAGCCGCCGCAGUAACAC